rfam:Paenibacillus sp. MAEPY2 contig30, whole genome shotgun sequence.
GACAUCCAAAACAACAAAAGCCCUACCUCUCUUUUGUCCUUGCGGCUCCGAUGACCGCGCCAGUGUGAAUGGGAACAUCUUGUGAAAC